rnacentral:rRNA from 1 species
UACGUAGGGUGCGAGCGUUGUUCGGAAUCACUGGGCGUAAAGCGCACGUAGGCGGAUUUGCCAGUCAGGGGUGAAAUCCCGGGGCUCAACCUCGGAACUGCCUUUUAUACAGCAAGUCUUGAGUUCGAGAGAGGUGGGUGGAAUUCCUAGUGUAGAGGUGAAAUUCGUAGAUAUUAGGAAGAACACCGGUGGCGAAGGCGACUCACUGGACACAUAUUGACGCUGAGGUGCGAAAGCGUGGGGAGCAAACAGG